UACGUAGGGGGCAAGCGUUGUCCGGAUUUAUUGGGCGUAAAGAGCGUGUAGGCGGCCAGGUAGGUCUGCUGUGAAAACUCGAGGCUUAACCUCGAGAUGUCGGCGGAAACCAUCUGGCUAGAGUCCGGAAGAGGAGGAGCGGAAUUCCUGGUGUAGCGGUGAAUGCGCAGAUAUACAGGAGGAACACCCGUGGCGAAGGCGGCUCUCUGGGACGGUACUGACGCUGAGACGCGAAAGCGUGGGGAGCGAACAGG
rnacentral:rRNA from 1 species